UUCAGGGAGUGUAAACAUCCUACACUCUCGGCGUCCGCCCCCUGGUGGCCGGGGGUGGGACUGUUUGCACUGCCUGGCU
ensembl:miRNA tni-mir-30c tni-mir-30c